rnacentral:rRNA from 1 species
AUUGAACGCUGGCGGCAUGCCUUACACAUGCAAGUCGAACGGUAACGGGCCUUCGGGUGCCGACGAGUGGCGAACGGGUGAGUAAUGCAUCGGAACGUACCUUUCAGUGGGGGAUAACGUAGCGAAAGUUACGCUAAUACCGCAUAUUCUGUGAGCAGGAAAGCAGGGGAUCGCAAGACCUUACGCUGAUUGAGCGGCCGAUGUCAGAUUAGCUAGUUGGUGAGGUAAAGGCUCACCAAGGCGACGAUCUGUAGCGGGUCCGAGAGGAUGAUCCGCCACACUGGGACUGAGACACGGCCCAGACUCCUACGGGAGGCAGCAGUGGGGAAUUUUGGACAAUGGGGGCAACCCUGAUCCAGCCAUGCCGCGUGAGUGAAGAAGGCCUUCGGGUUGUAAAGCUCUUUCGGCCGGGAAGAAAUCGCACAGGCUAAUACCUUGUGUGGAUGACGGUACCGGAAUAAGAAGCACCGGCUAACUACGUGCCAGCCGCCGCCGUAAGAC